GUGACCUCAAAUCAGGUAGGACUACCCGCUGAACUUAAGCAUAUCAAUAAGCGGAGGAAAAGAAACUAACAAGGAUUCCCCUAGUAACUGCGAGUGAAGCGGGAAAAGCUCAAAUUUAAAAUCUGGCAGUCUUUUGGCUGUCCGAGUUGUAAUCUAGAGAAGUGUUAUCCGCGCUGGACCGUGUACAAGUCUCCUGGAAUGGAGCAUCAUAGAGGGUGAGAAUCCCGUCUUUGACAUGGACUGCCAGGGCUUUGUGAUGCGCUCUCAAAGAGUCGAGUUGUUUGGGAAUGCAGCUCAAAAUGGGUGGUAAAUUCCAUCUAAAGCUAAAUAUUGGCGAGAGACCGAUAGCGAACAAGUACCGUGAGGGAAAGAUGAAAAGAACUUUGGAAAGAGAGUUAAACAGUACGUGAAAUUGCUGAAAGGGAAACGCUUGAAGUCAGUCACGUCGUCCAGGGAUCAACCUUGCUUUUGCUUGGUGCACUUUCUGGUUUGACGGGUCAGCAUCAAUUUUGACCAUUGGAAAAAGGCCAAGGGAAUGUGGCAUCUUUGGAUGUGUUAUAGCUCUUGGUCACAUACAAUGGUUGGGAUUGAGGAACUCAGCACGCCGCAAGGCCGGGUUUUAAACCACGUUCGUGCUUAGGAUGCUGGCAAUAUGGCUUUAAUCGACCCGUC
rnacentral:rRNA from 1 species